AGCAGCCACCCUUUCCCCGACCCCAAUCCCUAGCCCCACCCCACUGCCUAGAUUCAUCCCCAAAAACCCAAGCCUCAACACUACGGCCACCGCGUCCACCACUAACGAAGAAUUGUGGGCUCUGCGAGAAGAGAAUGGGCAACUGAGAAACUACUGUGGAUUCAAUCAACUUCUUGACGCGAAUCAGAGCUCUAAAGCAGGAAUCUAAAAUCAAUUUCCUUUCAAGGUGGCCACAGGAAGUGAUUUGGAAGCAGCUGAAAUUCUCAUCAAUGUUGACCAUGAAGAACCAAGUUGGUGGGUUUGGGUAACGGAAGAUAUGAUUCCUGGCAAAGUUGAGGAAAUGAGUGGAAUUGACAAUUAAAGCUAUGUUCUUGUCAGUGGGGGAGAUGGCUGCCGUGCGGUAGAGGAAGAGGGAGAA